AAAAUUCUGGAAAACUUUGGAAACAUUGAUCUUCUGGUGAUCAUGUGGCCCAUAAUUGUGUGUGCUUUUUUUCAGCCAGCUGUGAGGCUAUCACCACCUGCCAUGAUUGUGUUAAUAGAACAGAAUGCAAGUGGAUUAAUUGCUCAGGAGAAACUUUUUCCUGUGGAAACGCAACAGAUUCCAACUGUACUGCCACUUCUCAGUGUUCUUCCAAUUCUACAGAUUCCUCAACUGCUGCUACCACAACUGCUAAUGCUACCAUAAUUAAUGCUACCACAGCUGCUUCUGCUACAAUAGCGAACAUCACCAACACAACUUUACCUGCUGCAUCAUCUACUGCUUCAAGUACUUCAGUUCUCACAACAAUCAGUACACCAGGUACAACUGCUACAGGAAGUACCCCUAAACCAGCUCCUCACAAGUCUACAUUUGAUGCUGCAAGUUUCAUCGGUGGGAUUGUCCUUGUGCUGGGUCUGCAGGCUGUAAUCUUUUUCCUGUAUAAAUUCUGCAGGUCCAAAGAUCGAAACUAUCAUACUCUCUAGAAUCUGCCAUUUUACAAUGGACUAGUAGCCCAACACCUGUAGUUGACUGAACCAAAAUGUUUUGUCCCAUAUGGAACGCCACAGUUCAGAAUAUUCUUUAAAUCUUCAAAAGACUUUUUGAAAGGAUGAUAUUUUUUGCAACGCUAUACUUGGCAAGAGAUGGUAUGAAUCUCUCUGGCUCAGAGGUACUGAAUAUGCUGCAUGAGUCCUUGUGAUUGUCUUUAGUGGCUGCAGCUGUGGGACUUCUAAUCUUCACAUGCCAAAUGUAGACCUACAAUGGUUCUUGUAUUCAGUGUUACCACUGUCUUGAGUAGACUCUUAUGAUUGGAGGCUGAUUUAACCAACCUUAAGUGCGGUAUCCCUAUAAUUUUUAUCAGACAAAUUAUCACUGAUUUAUCACUGAUUUCAGGGAGUAAAGACCAUUUGUGCUAGCUUGUGACUCUUAUAGCAAAUUGCAAGUAAAGUGAAUGAAGGCUUGUAGAAACCAGUUUCUUUUCAUAAAAUAUCCUCUUUGGUGAAAAUGUCAAACUCAUAUUUUUCUACAUGAGGAUUAAAGAUACCAACCAGCAAAUUGCAUUAUACACUUUAAUUUCUUAAAUUUGGCCUCUUCAGUAGUUCUAAUUGGAAGGGUGGUGAGAAUUUCCCUUCCAUGUAAGGAGAAGUUAAGUUCAGUGCCUUAAAUAUAGGUUGCAAAUACAAAUGUUUGUGCCAGAGUACUCUUCCAAACUCAACAUUCACUGCAUCAAAAGCAUGACUGACCAUUUUCUGACCUCUUGUGCCUGAGGGAUUGGGAUAUUGGACUAAUGUGAACUAGGAUUUCAUUAACACUCAAAUUGUUUCUGGCCUGUAAGAAGGCAAGCCUAGGAAGGCUAUAUAUAGCAUAAGUUCACAUGCCUAACUUGAAAAGGGCACCAACUUAUCUGAAAAUGUUAAAUGUGAUUAUCUAUUGUUAGAUGUUCAAGAUUAUAACAGAUGUUUGCUUUGUGCAUAGUAAAUUUCACUGUUCUCCACUGCCUACACCUUCUCUGUAUGAACAUUUCAUGCAGUUGGCAAGCUCUUGAAGUUUUAACUAUCAAAACAACUAGAUUUAAAAUGGAUGGUGUUCCUUAUCCCUAUUUUGAGGAAAUUCUAUAGUCUUAUGCAGCUACUGACUUGCAUGAUUAAAGAUAUUUAUCUUUAAACUGGGUGUCUAAACACUGAUGGCAUGAUUACUAUAAGUCAGAGCAAUGUGUGGGUUUUCUAGCAUGUGAAAAACAGUUUUAGUUGCAGUGAACUUUGCUUCCUCAUGCUCUAACAGCAUUCAGUGUAACAAACUACAUAGACAAACUUGAUGGAUAAUUUUGUCACAGUGCUGUACCUUCAGGGAAUUGCAAGUUAAUGCACUCCUGAUAAAAGCCAAGUAGUCAGCUCUGUUUUAUUAACAAUUUGAUAACCCAACUUCCAGCAAGUGACAUUUGGAUGGUGUCUCUUUAGCCUUAUUUUAAGUCACUUAGCCUGUCAUUCCCAUCUCCUGAAUUUGCCCAAAUGAAGUUAUGGAAGAAAAGAACAUGAUCCAUGCACUUAUUUCUAAUGUGGCAAAUAAGACUUAUAAAGUUCACAAUUGCCAAUAGUAUUCCUUAAACAUUUAGUAUUGUACCGGAUUCUCUCAUCUCUCAACACUUUGGUCUUAAACUUGCACCAAAAGGCUACAGGACACUUGGGAAAACAACACAAACUUGUAGUUUAAUUACUGUGUAAAACUUUGCUAAAAUGCUUACUUAGUCUCACACUGAUCUUGAUUGAAGUUAAACUGUGUGCUCAUUAAGCAUCUGAAUUUAAGUGCCUUUAUUUUGAAAUCAAUUUGAGGCCAAAGCUUUGAAGGGGGGGGAGGAGGUAACUUGCCUUACUUAGAUUAAUCCCUUGGUGUUAGCUAUUGCUACUUAGGAAACCCAGGAUCUUAGUGCCAGAAUGUCAAUUUUCAGGAAGCUUGAAUUUUGUAACAGUUUUUGCAGAACUAUGUUUAGUGUUCAUCUAGGAAGACAAGUUUUAUGCAGCAACCUAUAUGCUUGGCUUGCUAAACUUCAGUAACUUGAUUUAAAAUCAUAGCUAGGACUUGGUUUCUCUGGCAACUUAGAAUGAGUUGCCAGGCACAUGCUUGGGCUGCCUCUCAGAUGUUUAAAAUUGAGUUUCCUUGCAAAAUUAAAGUACAAGUUAGUCUUUGCUAGCUACCAUGUGACCUAUAGCAACAGAACUUUCAGCUCCUCUCAGCCUUGUGUUGAUGGAUGGUAGCUUUCUUAGAUUUAUUUGCUAGUAAGUUGCCCCUUCAAUUCAGUUCUUAAACACUGAAUUGUAGCUUUUUUCAAACUGUUUAUCUGACUUAUUCCUGAAGCCAAUUUGUACAAUUGUAUCAAAUCUGAAUUUUAUGAAAAUGUUCCUUGCAGACAUUGCUGUAUCUUUAUUUUGUCUUCAGUGAAAGAUGCAAAACAAAUUGAGAAAUAAAAUUAUUUGAA